rnacentral:lncRNA from 1 species
GGUCUUGCUGUUACACAGGCUGGAGUGUAGUGGUGUGAUCAUAGUUCACUGCAGUCUGGAACUCAUGGGCUCAAGUGAUCUUCCUGCCUCAACCUCCCAAAGUGCUGGAAUUACAAGUGUGAGUAUCACACCCAGCCUCAAAUUACAAUUUUUUAAAAGCUGAAGAAAAAAACCAUAAAUAUCACAAAAUCCAGAAAAAUUACUUAUUAGUAUCAAUACUGAGAGCUCUAUGAUACAUUUUUUGGCUGCAUACUCUUUGAUCACUUUUUCGUAAGACAAUGAUUAUCCAAUAUCACUUUCUAUUGGGAUAAUGAAAAGAUAAUUCCUCUAACAUGGUUGACUCAAAUUUGUUUUUUAUCAUUGAAAAUUUAGAAAAAUUUCAGCGUCUCAACUGAUUAUUGGUGAUUCCAUGUCUCUUUUUGUUUCUUUUGAGACAGGGUCUCUUUCUGUCACCCAGCCUGGAGUGCAGCAGCACGAUCAUAGCUCACUGUAACCUUGUACUCCUGGGCUCCAGUGGUCCUCCUGCCACAGCCUCCCUAAGUGCUUGGAUUAUAGGCAUAAUCCACCAUACUUGGCCUGCGGCAUUAAUUCAGUCUUAAAAUCAGGAAGU